AUUGAACGCUGGCGGCAUGCCUAACACAUGCAAGUCGAGCGGAAACACGACUAGCGGUGCCGACUAAUGGUGGCGGGGGGCGUAAGGCUUAGGAAUGUAUCCCGUACUUGUGGAUCAGGGAGCACAACGUGAGACAAUACCGAAUACGAGCUGAUAUAGAGAACGGGAUGCCACAAUGGAAAGUGUGGCCUUUCCCGUUUGGAAUAGCCGAGGUCGGAUUAGGUAGUUGGUGGGGUAAAGGCCUACCAAGGCGACGAUCCGUAGCUGGUCUGAGAGGAGGACCAGCCACACUGGGACUGAGACACGGGCCAGACUCCUACGGGAGGCAGCAGUGGGGAAUUUUGGACAAUGGGCGCAAGCCUGAUCCAGCAAUGCCGCGUGCGGGAAGAAGGCCUUCGGGUUGUAAAACGCUUUUGUUCGGAAAGAAAAGACUCUGGCUAAUACCUGGCGCUGAUGACGGUACCGUAAGAAUAAGCACCGGCUAACUACGUG
rnacentral:rRNA from 1 species